UGCUACCUGCAGUCGAACGGGAUCCUAGCUUCGGUUAGGUGAGAGUGGCGGACGGGUGAGUAACGCGUGGGAACCUGCCCAUUGGUCUGGGAUAACUGCGGGAAACUGCAGCUAAUACCGGAUGUACCCGAGAGGGGAAAGAUUUAUCGCCGAUGGAGGGGCCCGCGUCAGAUUAGGUAGUUGGUGAGGUAACGGCUCACCAAGCCUACGAUCUGUAGCUGGUCUGAGAGGAUGAUCAGCCACACUGGGACUGAGAUACGGCCCAGACUCCUACGGGAGGCAGCAGUGGGGAAUAUUGGACAAUGGGGGCAACCCUGAUCCAGCAAUGCCGCGUGAGUGUUGAAGGCCUUAGGGUUGUAAAGCUCUUUUACCAGGGACGAUGAUGACGGUACCUGGAGAAUAAGCCCCGGCUAACUUCGUGCCAGCAGCCGCGGUAAUACGAAGGGGGCUAGCGUUGUUCGGAAUUACUGGGCGUAAAGGGCGCGUAGGCGGCCGAUCAAGUCAGAUGUGAAAGUCCUGGGCUUAACCUGGGGACUGCAUUUGAUACUGAUUGGCUUGAAUUCGGGAGAGGAUAGCGGAAUUCCCAGUGUAGAGGUGAAAUUCGUAGAUAUUGGGAAGAACACCGGUGGCGAAGGCGGCUAUCUGGACCGACAUUGACGCUGAGGCGCGAAAGCGUGGGGAGCAAACAGGAUUAGAUACCCUGGUAGUCCACGCCGUAAACGAUGAGUGCUAGACGCUGGGGGGCUUGCUCUUCGGUGUCCCACCUAACGCAUUAACCACUCCCCCUGGGGAGUACGGUCCCAAGAUUAAAACUCAAAGGAAUUGACGGGGGCCCCCACAACCCGUGGAG
rnacentral:rRNA from 1 species